rnacentral:rRNA from 1 species
UACGUAGGGGGCAAGCGUUGUCCGGAAUUAUUGGGCGUAAAGAGCGUGUAGGCGGUCAGGUAGGUCCGUUGUGAAAACUCGAGGCUCAACCUCGAGACGCCGAUGGAAACCAUCUGACUAGAGUCCGGAAGAGGAGAGUGGAAUUCCUGGUGUAGCGGUGAAAUGCGCAGAUAUCAGGAAGAACACCCGUGGCGAAGGCGGCUCUCUGGGACGGUACUGACGCUGAGACGCGAAAGCGUGGGGAGCGAACAGG